rnacentral:lncRNA from 1 species
UCAUGAUCCAGCUGGUAGUUUCUGUGGUAUAUGGACAGGCAGAGUUGCAGGCCUGCCUGAGCACAUGAGCAAGGAUCUGGGCAGAUCUUCCAUGCAAAGAAAUUCAGUAAUCAAAGCUGAUGGGCUGUGAGUGAUUGCUGUAAACGAGCAAAUAUCCCCUUCCUGUUCCUGGCAGGAAAACAUUCAUAGGUGCUUACCUUGUCCUGUACAUACAAAUGAGCAAAACAAAGCAGAACUGCCCAUGAGUGUUCUGAUAAACUGAAUAGUUUUGAACUCUAAAUAGAUCUGAUCUAGUUAAUCAUUAUUGUCGGUAUCCAAGGAGGAAUGAUAAAGACAGGAAGUAUGUGUAGAAUUCUACAGCAAAGCAAGUAUAAAAGGGUGGAAGAGAAGAAGGCUGAAGAGGAAAGGCUCCAUCAUCGUGAUCCACAGAGGCUUGGGACAUUGUAAUAGAAUUGCGUGUCUUGUUGGACUCAGAAAUUUCAAGAGGCACAAACUUCAUACCAUGCUGAAUUUAAGCCAUUCUUGGCAUCAUCAGGAGACCAUGGGCUCAGCUUCAGACUCUCCUGAGGCUUAUGCGUAGUACAUAAACUCAAAUAGUAACUCCCACUUCUUCCUGGCCAUGCAUUGUGCACAAAAGAGGAGAGGAAGCAGGAACAUCGUUUGCACUAAGGCAACACUGAGAAGAUCCUACUGUUUGAAGAUGAGGUCAUGAUUGCAGUGGCAUAGUUAUUUACUUCCUAAUGAUGCAAGAACUCACUGCAAAUAAAAAAUAUAAAGAACAACUCUUCCCUUUAUAUCUCUUGCUGAGAGAAUGCUGAUUGCAUGUCAAGGAAUGGUGUUUUUAGGUUAAAAUAAAGUUAUUAUUAAGAUGUUUUUGCUUGUUUCAGGCCUGGUUUUAUAAUGUCACCUCAGUGAGUUAGUCCUACUGAAAUAAAGGAGGAGCCUCCUGUUAUUUAAGUAUAGACUGGUAUGGUUGCAGUUUUUUACUGUUUUGUUUUUGUUUUUGUUGUUGUUGUUGUUGAAUUUCCGUAUUUAGGAGAGCAAAGGGAAUGGAUAAAUCUUCUUGGGCAUCACUGCUGUCUCAGCUACCAAACCAUGCUCAGGUGGAUCCAGUGCCACAGUUGCAUGGUUGGCAUUGUUGUUGUCAACCUAAUUAAUAGUUUCAUCAUUUAAAAAUGGGUGAAAAAGGUGAUAGGUGUUUUGUUGUUGUUGUUGUUUUUGGUAGGUUCCAGUUUGCUUGCAUUUCAUGCUACUAAAAUAAUAAAAUUGCAUUGGAUGCCACUUUAUCAGUCUGAUAACCUCGGAGAGAAAUAGCAUUACUCCUAUGGCUAACUUAAAUACGAGCUGGAACAGCACCUAUGAAGUCAAUAAACCCCUUUCUUGGGUUUCAGAAAUGCUGAUUCACUCAAAUGCAGUUAAAAGAAUAACUGAAUUGAUUAAAUCACACUUGAAUUAAAGUCGAGGCUCAAAUAUUUUGAUGCAUUUGACAGAAAAUCAAAAUAACUUUUAUGCAGUGAAGAAUGGACUGAAAAAGUAUUUCUGCCUCUUCAGUGAACAGGAAAGUGCUCAGUUCAGAUGAAAUGGUUAUCUUGACCAUUUCCAUGUAGCUCUUUGAUAGGUUCAUCUCUAUUUGCAAAUACUUGUGUUAUUACCUUUCUCGUGAUUUACAGGGGUGAACAGCUUCUGAGCAGAUGCACACUGAUAAUCACCUUGCACGUUUAUGAGAGGAUACAGUCUCUUUCCAGCAGACUUUUUGAUGGCCACCGAUCCAGAUCUCCAGGUUCAGUUGUGCAGUACUGUGGUGGGCUGACCUUGGCUAAGGGUCAAACGCCCACCUACUUUCACACUUCUGCUCUGCAAUUGUUUUCCAACUGCCUCUUUACUAAUGCCUUGCCAGGUUUCUGGCUAUUCUAGCUAUACUAAUUGACUUCUUACUGGUCAAAAUUCCCCAGGAACCUUCGCAGCUGGACAGACAAAAAUGAAGUUCAGGCACUGUCACAUUUUCUUCACUCACAGAAGCUAGGGACAUCCCAAUUUUCGAUCUCUCUUCGCUGAGCUAUUGCGUUUCUUAUCAAAGAUGAUGAAGAGUUCUGGUUCUGCUGAUGUCAUUCGCUCCUCUCAAGCAUAAGAUAUCCUGUCAAGACUACCAACGGGAAGAUGCUAUAUGCCUGACAGCAUGAAUCUUCCCCUGCCCCCAUCCCUAAUGCCUGAUGUCUUCAUUGCUCAGUGCUGAAGAUGUGGUCAGUGAGGAACAUAUACAGCUGGGGAGAAAAGGUAUCACUGUUCCCACAGAAUGUGCCAUUUAAGUACAAAGAAGGUCAAGAAGGAAGUGGCAUCAGAUUUUCACAGCAUGAUGGAAGAAGUAUUCAUCACUGGUGGGGUCUGAUUGCUCUGCCUCAUGUGCACACCUAGAGGAUGGUAGGAAGGGGCAGUUACAUUCCACAGACACUCUUGCUAAGCAAGCGUAUCUUCAACAAGGAAAAAGUGUUUGUACGUCCUUAAUGAAGUAAAAACACCACAGCAUUAUGCAGAAAUCAUCACUGAAAUCUAAGAGGACACAACAAUCUAAUGAAGUCACUGUUCUUUGCUUGAAAAUGUUAGCCUAGCAUUGUGAUGUUUUGAUGGACAAUAUGUAAUGAUCAUUUGAGUAUCAACUGUUCCAUUAAAAAAAAAAAAAAAGAGUGGAAAGAGGAGAUGUUGUCAAGGUGUGGUCUACUUGUAAGAUGCUAAAUGUACAUUUCACACAAUAGUACAUAAAAAUGUUAGAAGGGACUUCUUGAGGUCAUACAGCCCACGCUUCCAUUCAAAACAAGACCUACAGGCAUAUACCAAUGCAGAAUAAGUAGUUUUGGACUCAUCCAUCUAGGUUCUGGAGACCUCCAAGGAUAGAGGUUACACAACGCUUUCAGGAAACUUUUCUGAUGCUGCAUUACUUUCUUAGUAGUAACAAAUUUAUUGAUAUGCUUCAGUUCAAGUUUCCCAUUUGCUUUGGUCCUGUGAUGUUGACUUCUCCUUUGAAGGAGAUAGGCAGAUAGGCAGUGCAAGAUCUCUGAACAGAAGCAAGGUACUUACGGAUGGUAAGAACUUGUAGGGUCAAAGAAGUAAGAGCAGCUGUAACAACAGAGGCAAGUUACUUCGUAGAAGUCUUUGAUACAAGGUGGUGAUUGAACAUCACUCUUUACUAUCUAUCUCCUCUGCAGUCCCUCAGCCUGACUCAUCUAUACUCACUAUCAUACUAUUAUCUUUGACUACAGGAAGCUCAUGACACGAUGAAUAUGAAUUUAAGAAGUUAUCUGAUGGGAGAAGGCACAUGGCAACAUCUUAGAUAGCUGCAGUGUA